rnacentral:tRNA from 2 species
GUCCCCGUAGCUCAGUUGGAUAGAGCACCAGCCUUCUAAGCCGGUUGUCGUACGUUCGAAUCGUACCGGGGACA